rnacentral:rRNA from 1 species
AUGCAGCCGCCUGAGGCACGAGGAGGGGGCCCCGAGCCAGCCGCAAGGCACGACCAAGGCACCCACAAAUCCCACUGGACUAGGAGGGCAUUGGCCACGGGGGAGGUGUGGUGCUCGCGCCAGGUCGAGCUCGGUGUGGGGGAGGAGGGGGAGCACGCAAACACGUUAGAUCCGCCACGCUGCCACCAUCCUGGGUCCGGCACGACUUCGUCGGCCGACCCUCUGGUGGCGGCGAUGCAGGGAAGGGCGACGGGGGAUGGCUUUGGGCGGCGGACAGGGUUCCACGCGACACGUGCACCACUCUUGUUUGAAAGGACAAAAUUAUUGUACUGGUGUCAAGAGAUGGUUGAUGCGAACAUGAAACUGGUGUGCUCACCCAUGCUUGUAUAUGCUUCAAAUAUGCAUCUUUUGUCCGAAAAAGGAACACAACCUACAAAGCGACUGUCAUACCUGGAGUGUACGUCCGUGACCGUUGACGGCGACUUCACUCGUGUGGGUCUCCUUGUGAACUUGCCUUUCACUUUCCCCUCAGCUUCCUCCUCCAUUCCUCUUUGCUGUGCCGGUGCGACGGCGAUCGAAGUAGCCGACACGCGGCGCGCGGCGGCGGCGGUUUUCCUGACCGUCUUCGGACUACCGGAAGCAGCACCACCGCGUUUGGCUUGCGUCGAUCUAGCCACACCCGGCUCUCUACUUCGUUUGAGAGUCAGAUCGGUUUACCACUUUACCCCGCCUGCCCUCUCCUCCUCCGGCGGCGCCGCCGCCUGGAGUGGGAAUGGGAGGGGAGCUCGGGCCGAUCUUGUAUAUCGGUUUAGGUUUGUACUUGCGUUAGUGGCGCAUGACCUCGUGCCGUUAGAGGGAGCUUCUCACCGGAGCAGGCGAGCUGCGUCCAGUGGCCGGCCUUCUCCUCCUCAUACUGCCUCGUCGAUAAGCUUGGAACCCAAAGGUGUCUACAUCAUCCAGUCAAAUCCAGUCGAUCGCAACCGCAGUUCCCUCUUUCCCUUCCAUCCAUCUCGAGUCGCCAAUCAGUUGCCUGGAUCUACUAUCUACAUACUGGUGACUCGGAAAGGGAUAGCAGCGUGGCCUCACCGUUCACCGUACCUCGAGUUCUACCUCCACUGGGCUGGAUCUUCUAUUUCGUAUCUGCGCUCCCGGUGGUCUGCAACACAGGAGGAAAGUAUUCAUCAUGAAGUAUUGCACUUGCAGAGUGGCUUACAACGUCUUAGGGAUACUCUUCCGGCAAUGUACAGUCUUAUUGACCAAGCAGAGUGGAGGAUCCACGAAGGCCGUGUCGCGGAGCUCCUUCCCAACCUCAAAGAUGCAGUGAAUGAUGCUGAUGAUCUUCUUGAUGAGUUCAGAUGGCAUGAGCUAAAGAUGGAGGUAGAGGGCAAUGCAAGUCAUUCUGCUUUUAUUGACUUCUACAAGACUACCGUACAAGGCAGCUUCAACAAAGAACUGGAGGAGGUGAUGGGAUUUCUCGGUGUACCUCAAAGUAAAGGAAGGGCCUGUUCAAAACGCAAGAGAGCAAGUAGCGCAGUCAAUGCAUCAACAAGCACAUCAGCAUCAAACCAUCGUUGGAAAGACUUCUAUGAUUCUUUAAAAAAUGUGGUACAGGGAAGUAUGAUGUUGGUCACAACAAGAUUUCCAGAUGUUGCUGAUAGAAGAUGCUUCUCGUUCUGUGCUCUAUACGCCAAAGAUCACAAAUUUGAAAAGGGCCGUUUAGCUGAAAUUUGGGUAGCAGAAGGCUUUGUGGAGCCUCAAGGCGACAUUCCACUUGAAGAUAUUGGCCAUCAGUACUUUGAGGACCUUGUAAAUAGGUCCUUCUUUCAAAAUGUUAGCGGUACAUACAUAAUCCAUGACUUGCUGCAUGACAUGGCAAAGCUAGUGUCAGAUCACGACUGCUUCACCAUAAGAAAUAUGAGGGACUUCCAAAUGGUUCCCCAGAAUGUUCGUCAUCUGUACAUACUCCCAAGCAGAGACUUGAGCACUCCCAACUUGUUGAGCCUAAGCAAGCACACAAAGCUGCAUACGCUAAUUUGUGACAUGUCUUUUGGGAAUGAAGCUGCAGUUAUAAUGGACUGUUGGUGUAGUGAGCUUCAGCGUUUGCGUGUGCUUUUUUGGGCCUCUUCAAAUGAGUUGCCAGACAGUAUUGCCAACUUGAAGCAUCUUCGGCAUCUUGAAAUCUCCAAGGCUUGUGCUUUCAAGAGCUUUUCUUCAGCAUUUUGCUCCCUCUAUAAUCUGCAGAGAUUAUACGCGAAGGAGUGCAAGUUAGAAAGCUUGCCCUGUGACUUUAGGCGCACUCUGAAUAUCGAUGCAACCAAUCGGUUCGAAAUGAAGUUGAUAAAGAAUUUGAACCAAUUUGAUGGACAUAUGAACAUAUGCAAUCUUGGUUCUGUGAGCAAUUGUUAUCCUACAGAAUUUAAACUGAAGGAUAAGAAGUAUCUACGCAGACUGGAACUGACAUGGUCUUUGGCGUCCUCUCCUGAGGACAAAGGAGUGCUUCAAGCCCUACAGUCUCCCACCUGUCUGGAAUCUCUGUUCCUCAAAGGUUAUCCAGAUGUGUCUCUUCCAAAUUGGUUUCAGCAGCAUAGAAACCUAAGUGAGAUGCCAGCUGUGCCAGUUGACAACAAUAAUGAUGAGAUUGGUACUUUGCCGUCCUUGGAAGAGCUAGCCAUUCUUUACUGUCGAAAUCUACGAAGCGUCGAACAACUUCUGUGUCCAGCUUAUGUGCCUGCCAUCAAGAGAUUAAGGAUUGCUGGUUGCCACCAGUUAAAAUCAUUACGAACUGUAACGUUAGGUGGUUUUCAUUCCCUUGAAAGAUUAGAAGUGUGUGGUUGUCCAAAUAUCCGCUCGAGAAGUUUGGUGGCGCACUCCCUCAAGACACUCAAACUGGAAAGUUCUGGGAAUCUCACAAACAAUAUGCAGUGCUGCUCCCUCAUCGAGUUCUAUUUAUCAAGUGACUAUGUCACGACCAUCCAUCCCCAAAUGUGGAAUCUUCCAGCUCUACAAAAGUUGCACAUUGCAAACUGCAGAUCUCUUACAUCUGUUGGACAAGGACAACCACCAAUUAGGGCAUUCAAAUCCCUUACAUUCCUAAUCAUUGACAAUUGUGAGAACCUGGCAACCCUUGAUGGUCUUCUAACAGAACUAUGUUUGCCUGCCAUUCGAAAGAUUGAUGUUAGGAAUUGUGGCAAGUUACAGUUCCUUUUUGGUGAAAGGCCUGGGAGUUUUCCUUCCCUUGAAGAUCUGUUGCUUCAUGAUUGCCCUAGUCUCAAAUGGCCAAGGGAAUUAGUGUUACCAUCAUCCCUAAAAAAGCUCCACUUAGUUCGAUGUGGGGAUAUUUCCUCCUGGUUUUCAAGCUGCCUACAAAACCUCAAAUCUUUGGCUGAACUGGCUUUGAUUGGAUGUCCAAGUAUAACAUCCAUUCCACUCAGCGUCUACAGAAGUGAUCUCGCUUCGCUUGAUGCAUUGUAUAUCUCGGGUUGUCCAGACCUCGUGUCAAUUGGCGGAGCAAAGGCAGUUGCAAAAAUAAAGUAUGUGGGCAUUUACGAUUGCCCAGAGAUGGAGGAUCCUAAGCAGCCUUGUGUUUUGCAGGGAGCUCUUGCGCUGUGUUGGCUCCUUUCUGCUCUUUUUUGCCUUGCUACCAUCAACCGUGUGCAGCUUAGAGUUGAUCGGAGAAAGAGGCAGGGUCAGCUGGGCAGAGGAGAUCGGCCGUAA